AAGUCGUAACAAGGUUUCCGUAGGUGAACCUGCGGAAGGAUCAUUAACACGUAUCCACGUAACACCAACGAGGUCUGUUUUCCCGUCUCCCGAAGUAUGAAAUGAAUUGGUAUCCGGUCUGAGGGAGUGAUAGGACUGCAUUAGCGUCGGCCUUCCCGGUAACUUUGUGGAAUCGAAAGAUUUUACUUGACAAUAAGAUUCAUACUGAGGCUUCUUUCCUGCCACUUUUUUCUCUAUCAUGAAUGUGGCGGCAGGAAUAACUUUAACAAUUUUCACCCCUUUUUGCUAGUUGACUUUUUAUAUGUGUUGUUAUGCGCAAGCAUGAUACGCACGUUUAAUUUAUUUGAACGUUAAAAAAUACAACUCUUAGCAAUGGAUAUCUUGGUUCUC
rnacentral:misc_RNA from 1 species